CCUAUGGGAGGCAGCAGUGGGGAAUCUUGCGCAAUGGGCGAAAGCCUGACGCAGCCAUGCCGCGUGAAUGAUGAAGGUCUUAGGAUUGUAAAAUUCUUUCACCGGGGACGAUAAUGACGGUACCCGGAGAAGAAGCCCCGGCUAGCUUCGUGCCAGCAGCCGCGGUAAUACGAAGGGGGCUAGCGUUGCUCGGAAUUACUGGGCGUAAAGGGAGCGUAGGCGGACAUUUAAGUCAGGGGUGAAAUCCCGGGGCUCAACCUCGGAAUUGCCUUUGAUACUGGGUGUCUUGAGUAUGAGAGAGGUGUGUGGAACUCCGAGUGUAGAGGUGAAAUUCGUAGAUAUUCGGAAGAACACCAGUGGCGAAGGCGACACACUGGCUCAUUACUGACGCUGAGGCUCGAAAGCGUGGGGAGCAAACAGGAUUAGAUACCCUGGUAGUCCACGCCGUAAACGAUGAUUGCUAGUUGUCGGGAUGCAUGCAUUUCGGUGACGCAGCUAACGCAUUAAGCAAUCCGCCUGGGGAGUACGGUCGCAAGAUUAAAACUCAAAGGAAUUGACGG
rnacentral:rRNA from 1 species